UACGAAGGUGGCAAGCGUUGUUCGGUAUCACUGGGCUUAAAGGGUGCGCAGGCGGGAAAGUAAGCGUUUUGUGAAAUCCCCCGACUUAAUCGGGGAAUUGCUUGGCGAACUGCUUUUCUUGAGGCAAGUAGGGGUGCAUGGAACUCUUGGUGGAGCGGUGGAAUGCGUAGAUAUCAAGAGGAACGCCGGAGGUGAAGACGGUGCACUGGGCUUGUCCUGACGCUGAGGCACGAAAGCGUGGGGAGCAAACAGGAUUAGAUACCCUAGUA
rnacentral:rRNA from 1 species